GCCGGGUGUGGUGGCGCACGCCUGUAAUCUGCGCUCAUGGAGGCCGAGGCUGGAGGAUGGUUGGAGCUCAGGAGCUCUGAGCUGCAGUGGACUGUGCUGAUCAGGUGUCUGCACUGAGUUCGGUAACGAUAUGGUCUUUCGGGGGGAGCCCGGGGAGACCAGGUCAUCUAAGGACGGGUGAACCGGCCCAGGCCGGAAACGGAGCAGGUCAAAGCCCGCGUGCCGCUCAGCAGUGGGAUCACACCUGAGAGUAGACGCUGUAGCACAGCCUGAAGAAACAUCCAGACCCAGCCUUUU
rnacentral:SRP_RNA from 1 species